rnacentral:lncRNA from 1 species
GCACUAAGGUCACUGAGAACAGAAAGCUUGUCUGCUUGUUUGGUAGUUUCAGCUCUGUGUCUCUAGGGAUUCCAACAGUGCCUAACACAAAGCAGACAUUCCUAACACCACCACGGGAUGGUAGGUAAUUGAUGGUCACAGAUGCAAAUCAGUCUCCAUUUUAGCCCUUUUCCCCUUCACACCACUCCUGUUCACUUGAAGGUAUCUAAGAGCAGAACUCCACUCCCAGUGGCCCAGUGGGUUAGGUCUAACAGCCCAUGGUUUUUGUUCACAUUGGAAUAAAAGCUUUGAUGUAGAGAAAGAAGCUUAAAGGUGAAGGCUAUUUCAGUAGCGCCAAAGUCUUGUGGCUCUUAUAAGUACAAGAACCCUACGCAGCCCUUCUAGUGGUAUUUAGGUUUGGGAAUGAUUUGUUUCCUACAAGCUCAAGUCGUUAAGCACUUGGUGCCCCCAUUUUGGAACUGUUUGAAGUAGUUGUGUAACCUUCAGGAGGUGUGGCUUAGCUGGUGAAGUGUGUCACCAGGGGCAGGUCUUUGAUGGUUCUGGUUACAGUGAGGAUCUGGCCCACGGCCAAUUCUUCCUGUUUUGUAGUUGUGGUUUGAACAAACUCCUGCCCAUUGCUACUGCCACCACAGGCUGAAUUUUUAUUUUAUUCAUGCACCCUGAUUAUUGAUGGCUUGAAAUGUCACCAAAAUCAUGAACCUAAGUGAAUAAACCUUUCUUCUUUUAAGUUUUCUUUUCUUUUUUUUAAAAGUAAAGGGAAUAAAGGAUUGUUGUGAUUUUUAAAUAUACAUUACCAUUCCAGAUACAUGCAUAUUUUUAUUUAAAAUUUU